rnacentral:rRNA from 1 species
UGGGGAAUUUUGCACAAUGGGGGAAACCCUGAUGCAGCGACGCCGCGUGAUUUAGAAGGCCUUCGGGUUGUAAAAAUCUUUUCUAUGGGAAGAAAAUGACAGUACCAUAGGAAUAAGGACCGGCUAAUUACGUGCCAGCAGCCGCGGUAAUACGUAAGGUCCGAGCGUUGUCCGGAAUCAUUGGGCGUAAAGGGUACGUAGGCGGGUAAGCAAGUUAGAAGUGAAAUCCUAUAGCUCAACUAUAGUAAGCUUUUAAAACUGCUCAUCUUGAGGUAUGGAAGGGAAAGUGGAAUUCCUAGUGUGGCGGUGAGGUGCACAGAUAUUAGGAGGAAUACCUGUGGCGAAGGCGACUUUCUGGCCAUAACCUGACGCUGAGGUACGAAAGCGUGGGUAGCAAACAGG